GAUCUUGCACUCAUCUGUCCAUACCCUACCAGUGCUGCAGCAGAUUUGCUCAGGCAUGAAGCUAUAUGGCUUGCGUGAGAUGAUUGUACAACAACUAAACAUAUUCAGGCCGCUGUUUGUUCCUGGGCUUUUGAAAAAGCCCGAUGCUGAAUUUCUGAUGGGAUCCAUGUCUCCAAUUUUUCCAAACUCCAGAGGGAAUUAAAGAUUGUGAACUUCUUUCAAGAUUUCCUCCGAAAGAAGAGGAGGAAAAUGCUUCAUGAUAGAAAAGAAGGAGACCAUGAAGACCAUGAAGAAAACAGAGUUUGAUCUUGAAGAUGGACAUGCGAGAGAGAUGUAGAAGAGAUGGAGAAACACAUGAUCACUGUCGAUUGCUUCCGACAGGCACAUGUUCCCUUCACCUCAACCAAGUGACAGAGUUUCAGGAUACAAAUAUAAUUUGACCAUUAUUGCGGAGUGCGCUUAGU